AUUGCAUUAGAAAAAUUCAUGUUUAAGCCACACAGUGGCUGGAACUCCCAUACCCUAAGCAGGCCUGAUCAUCCCAUAGCCCUUUAGACAUUAUAUACAAACACAUGUGCAUUACACUGGAGAAAGAACUUAAAUGUACAACUUGACCUGGACACUGGAUAGUCCACCCUCUGUCUUCACAGUCAAACCACAACCCCUUUGAUGCCAUCCAAACAACUCUCAGGGAAGAGACUCAAUGGUAAACCAACAGAAGAUACUUAGGUCCAAAAGAGUCCUUUAGGACAGAGGUCUGAAACAAACGAAACCAAAAUCCAUUCUCCCAACAGCUGGAACUGGUACACCUCCAUCCCAGAGCCACAGACAGCCCACUCACAGCUCUAGGGGAAAUAGGCUCUUUUCCAGGGUAAGGGAACAGCCCUUCCAGGCCUAGUAAGAGUCCUUUGGAGACACUUGAUGCUGCCUCCCGAGAAAUGGAACGUGUGGUUGGACAUGCUGAAGCUGUGAUGCCUGCAGGGAGGGAGGUUCACUGCACUCCUCGGGAAAGAUGGAAAGCAGGGUCAACAUGAUGCCCAGCACAUAGAGGUUCAGCAUGAACUUCAUGGCGACGGUGCCCAGCUCCUUUGCAGGGAAGUAGAGCUGCUUUCUGC
rnacentral:lncRNA from 1 species